UGAUAAUUUAAAAAAUUGUCAAGGGACUUUGUUUUUAUAAAUUUUACCUGCAAAUAAAAUGUAGCUUAUGUUUAUGUCAACAUUUGCCAAGUAUUAUAUAAAGCCAACGUACAUUAUUUUUUCACUUAUGAUCAAAUAAAAGCACAUAGGUAUACCACGAUAAUUACUAUCAUAGACGUUUAUAAUUGUACAUGCAUAAAAAUACCUCUAAAAUUUCUGUAUAUAAUUAUCACAUUACAUAACACAAAAUAAAAUCACAGUAAAUAGAG
rnacentral:misc_RNA from 1 species